UACGGGGGGGGGCAAGCGUUGUUCGGAAUUACUGGGCGUAAAGGGUUCGUAGGUGGCCUACUAAGUCAGACGUGAAAUCCCUCAGCUUAACUGGGGAACUGCGUCUGAUACUGGGGGGGCUUGAGUGCAGGAGAGGAACGCGGAAUUCCAGGUGUAGCGGUGAAAUGCGUAGAUAUCUGGAGGAACACCGGUGGCGAAGGCGGCGUUCUGGACUGCAACUGACACUGAUGAACGAAAGCCAGGGGAGCAAACGGG
rnacentral:rRNA from 1 species